rnacentral:rRNA from 2 species
GACGAACCGUGCAAACGUUAUUCGGAUUCACUGGGCUUAAAGGGCGCGUAGGCGGGUGAUCAAGUCAGGGGUGAAAUCCUCCAGCUUAACUGGAGCAGUGCCUUUGAUACUGGUCGUCUUGAGGGAGGUAGGGGCAUGUGGAACUUCCGGUGGAGCGGUGAAAUGCGUAGAUAUCGGAAGGAACGCCGGUGGCGAAAGCGACGUGCUGGAUCUCUUCUGACGCUGAGGCGCGAAAGCCAGGGUAGCGAAC